UCCUCCCUUCUUCUCUGUCUAUACUAAAGACUCAUACAAUCUCUAUCAUCACAUUAUUUUUGUUGUGUGCGUAACCAGAGUAUUUGUAACGCUGUUGUAGAAGUAUGUUUAGAGCUGCAUAUGGACUGUGCAUUUAUUUCUUAUUAUACAUAGGGAUGGUGAAAUGUGUGAAUGUUCAACAGAACCCAACACCCAUAUUAGCCAGCGCGAAGAAUAUAACAGACAUAAAUUGUAGUUAUGAUGACAGUAACAAGCCAAACAUGUUAUGGUAUCAGCAGAAGGAUACAGCCAUGGUCUUGAUCGUGUUAAGUUACAGUGCUACAAGCAGGGCCGCGGGAACGGCCAUGGCUACAAGUGACCCCACCUAUGAGGAUGGAUUUAAAGACCGGUUUGAACUGAAAAGAACAGAAACACUGAAGGGAGUUCUGAAAAUCUCUGAUCUCAGUUCAUCAGACUCGGCUGUUUAUUACUGUGCUGUCAGUAUGCACAGUGCUGUAGUCUUUAUUACCUGCCUGACUAAAAACCAAACCACCAGACAAACAGGAAAUGCACAAAAAAGCCAAUCUAAUGUUCUUGAGGUUCAAAUGUGA